CCCUUAGACGUUCUGGGCCGCACGCGCGCUACACUGAUGCAUUCAACGAGCCUAUCCUUGACCGACAGGUCCGGGUAAUCUUUGAAUCUGCAUCGUGACGGGGAUAGAUUAUUGCAAUUAUUAAUCUUCAACGAGGAAUGCCUAGUAGGCGCAAGUCAUCAGCUUGCGUCGAUUACGUCCCUGCCCUUUGUACACACCGCCCGUCGCUCCUACCGAUUGGGUGUGCUGGUGAAAUGUUCGGAUCGGCCGUUUGUCGCGGUUUCCGCGGCUCGUGGCUGAGAAGUUCAUUAAACCCUCCCACCUAGAGGAAGGAGAAGUCGUAACA
rnacentral:rRNA from 1 species